rnacentral:lncRNA from 1 species
CUCACGGGCUUCUCUCCGCCCCAUUCCCUCUCGGCCACGCCCACCACGGCCCACUGGCCAGGGAGCCGCUACGCAGAUGUUUUCGCCUCUGCGGGUGUAGGCUCCGGGUCGGGCUUCCGGGUCCCUUUCCUGGCUCUGGCGCCUUCCAGCUGUGUGACCGGGCGAGGCCCUGAGCCUCUUGAGGGUUCAGUGCCCUCCUCCGUACAAUGGGCCAACAACAGCCCCUUCCCUGGGGAUCUCGGUGAGGGUUGGUUGCUCUGCAGGGUGCCCUGGGCCUGUGCCAGCGCGCUCAGGCAUCCUGGUGACCAACCACAGCUGGCACUGGUGAACGCAGCCUCUUAGCCCAGGCAGGCUCUGGUCAGCCUCACCUGCUGGGACCGCUGAGUGGUCCAAGAGCUGGCUUGGCUGACUGGGACCUGGGCCUCAGCUUCCCCAUCUGUGCAGGGGGCCGCUGGUGAUACCGGUCCCUGCCAUGCCCUGGUGGAGAUAUGGCCCAGUGAGACUUCGUGAGGGGUCUAGGCCACUGCUGUCACGUGGUCCUCCUGCUCCACCACAGGCCAUCUCCCUGGGCCUCAUCCAGACAGCUGGACACUGAGCACAGCUCUGUUGUCCUCUUCCCUGGGCUGAGUGGACUCAGAGGUGCUGGGGACUGCAUGGCCGCCGGACGAGGCGGGGGCUUUCCAACCCAACACCACCGAGCCUGCCUCUUCCUGCCCUGGAUGCUAUGUCUUCCAUAGAGCCGCUUUUCCAACACAGCAGGUAUGAAGUAUCCACCGGCCAUCUGAAAAUAAUGCAGUAACUAAGAAAAACAGUGGCGAGAGGAAGGAGUGUCGAUGCCCCAAAUGGAUCAUCUUCCAGAGCACGUCUACACCGAGAUCAAGAAUGAAAAGGUCUGGGCAAGAGGCCCCGCCGCGUUCCCUUAAUUCUCAGGUCUUUGGAGUGAAUGCCUAAGGCCUCCAAGCCCCGGGUCUCCUCUGUAUCAGGCGCUCACGCUGUGGGAGCUGCUUUCUCUCUGCUCCACUUCUACAGAGAAAGAAAAUCACAAGCAUUUCCCACACUUCCCCCAAGCCUUGACGUAUCACAGUUCACUCAUGGAGUUGUCAACAGACACAGGCACACACAGACCAGACUGUGGGCUCGGGAGGCGGGAACAAACCCCUCCUUCAGGAGACCUGGCAGCAGGCCAGGGGGCGCCCCAGGGCCCACCCAGCGCAGGGGCAGGCAGCCGCUCCCUCCUGCCCCUCGCCUGCUCCAGCUGUGGGCACUGGGGGCUGCCCCUGGC